ACUCAAACAUGGCAGGUACUCAAACAUGAGCAGGUACUCAAACAUGAGCAGGUACUCAAACAUGAGCAGGUACUCAAACAUGAGCAGGUACUCAAACAUGAGCAAGCACUCAAACAUGAGCAAGUACUCAAACAGCAGGUACUCAAACAUGAGCAGGUACUCAAACAGAGCAGGUACUCAAACAUGAGCAAGUACUCAAACAUGAGCAGGUACUCAAACAUGAGCAGGUACUCAAACAGAGCAGGUACUCAAACAUGAGCAGGUACUCAAACAUGAGCAGGUACUCAAACAGAGCAGGUACUCAAACAUGAGCAAGUACUGAACAGCAGGUGCUCAAACAUGAGCAGGUACUCAAAGAGCAGGUACUCAAACAUGAGCAGGUACUCAAACAGAGCAGGUACUCAAACAUGAGCAGGUACUAAACAU